GGGAAUGAUGAUCUCACAGACUAGAGUCUCUGACACUGGCUCUGAUGUCAAAUUUAAGUUCUGACUC
rnacentral:snoRNA from 1 species